rnacentral:misc_RNA from 1 species
AAGGAUCAUUACUGAGUGAGGGCCCUCUGGGUCCAACCUCCCACCCGUGUUUAUUGUACCUUGUUGCUUCGGUGCGCCCGCCUCACGGCCGCCGGGGGGCUUCUGCCCCCGGGCCCGCGCCCACCGAAGACACCAUUGAACUCUGUCUGAAGAUUGCAGUCUGAGCAUAAACUAAAUAAGUUAAAACUUUCAACAACGGAUCUCUUGGUUCCGGCAUCGAUGAAGAACGCAGCGUAGCCACGCAUCGAUGUGGAAGUAAAAGUCGUAACAAG